GACGAACGCUGGCGGCGUGCUUAACACAUGCAAGUCGUACGGUAAGGCCCUUUCGGGGGUACACGAGUGGCGAACGGGUGAGUAACACGUGAGUAACCUGCCCACAACUUUGGGAUAACGCUAGGAAACUGGUGCUAAUACUGGAUAUGUGCUCCUGCUGCAUGGUGGGGGUUGGAAAGCUCCGGCGGUUGUGGAUGGACUCGCGGCCUAUCAGCUUGUUGGUGGGGUAGUGGCCUACCAAGGCGGCGACGGGUAGCCGGCCUGAGAGGGUGACCGUCCACAUUGGGACUGAGAUACGGCCCAGACUCCUACGGGAGGCAGCAGUGGGGAAUAUUGCACAAUGGGCGCAAGCCUGAUGCAGCAACGCCGCGUGCGGGAUGACGGCCCUCGGGUUGUAAACCGCUUUCAGCAGGGACGAAGCUUUUUGUGACGGUACCUGCAGAAGAAGCACCGGCUAACUACGUG
rnacentral:rRNA from 1 species